rnacentral:lncRNA from 8 species
AUGCUAAUCUUAGCCCACUUGUCAUUGCUGCUUCUUUUGGGAAGCCAAGAUUCAGUAACCUGUACCGACCUGCAGAAACAGCAUGAAGUCAUCCAUGCAGCAGUUGGAGAACCUUUAGUGUUGAACUGCACCUACAACUGCUCCUCUGGAUUUGUCCGUGGACACUGGCUCAAACUCCCAGACUGUCUUCGUUGUCCUAGGCCAAGGGAAACAAAAAAUGUCACAAAGAAUGGUGACCUCUGCACUCUACCAUUGUAUUUUCCACAUCUGUCCAGGGAAGAUUUUCAGUACAACUAUACCUGCUUUUCUGAAGAUCAUGAAAGCGAACAGUUCCCACGCAAGAUAGAGUGUCUGGUAUCACUGCAAGCACAAGAUGAAUCGGUGACAGCGUUGGGUAACCAUGAGGACUCCAUAAUAGAUCAUGGUGAGACAAAAUGCUGCUAUUCCACUCCUUAA